GAUGAAGAACGUAGCGAAAUGCGAUAAGUAAUGUGAAUUGCAGAAUUCAGUGAAUCAUCGAAUCUUUGAACGCACAUUGCGCCCCUUGGUAUUCCGGGGGGCAUGCCUGUUCGAGCGUCAUUGCUGCCCUCAAGCACGGCUUGUGUGUUGGGCCUCCGUCCUCCUCCCGGGGGACGGGCCCGAAAGGCAGCGGCGGCACCGCGUCCGGUCCUCGAGCGUAUGGGGCUUCGUCACCCGCUCUUGUAGGCCCGGCCGGCGCUUGCCGACACAUCAAUCUUUUUUCCAGGUUGACCUCGGAUCAGGUAGGGAUACCCGCUGAACUUAAGCAUAUCAAUAAGCGGAGGA
rnacentral:misc_RNA from 1 species